rnacentral:rRNA from 1 species
UACGUAGGGUCCGAGCGUUGUCCGGAAUUAUUGGGCGUAAAGGGCUCGUAGGCGGUUUGUCGCGUCGGGAGUGAAAACUCAGGGCUCAACCCUGAGCGUGCUUCCGAUACGGGCAGACUAGAGGUAUGCAGGGGAGAACGGAAUUCCUGGUGUAGCGGUGGAAUGCGCAGAUAUCAGGAGGAACACCGGUGGCGAAGGCGGUUCUCUGGGCCUUACCUGACGCUGGAGGAGCGAAAGCCGUGGGGAGCAAACAGG